rnacentral:rRNA from 1 species
CAGCCGCCACGGUAACACGGAGGAUCCAAGCGUUAUCCGGAUUUAUUGGGUUUAAAGGGUGCGUAGGCGGCCUAUUAAGUCAGGGGUGAAAGACGGUAGCUCAACUAUCGCAGUGCCCUUGAUACUGAUGGGCUUGAAUGUACUUGAGGUAGGCGGAAUGUGACAAGUAGCGGUGAAAUGCAUAGAUAUGUCACAGAACACCAAUUGCGAAGGCAGCUUACUAAAGUAUGAUUGACGCUGAGGCACGAAAGCGUGGGGAUCAAACAGGAUUAGAUACCCCCGUAGUCCCUGUCUCUUAUAA